CCCCUGGCGGCGCCAUUCAACCACCUGCGACGCUUUCAACCGCCGCCGCUGUCGGCAGCACGCUCUCCCCGGCACCCCCGUAUCAAGAGGCUAAAGGGCAGCAAUCGAGAUGUGCAGCUGGCCGGGAGGGAGCCAGGUUGGAUGACCCGACCGUUUUGGCUCUGGCGGUGCUGAUGCUGUGAUGUUCGCGGUCUGCCCUUGCUGUCGUGCGAUGGUGAUAAGUUCACCCCGGCAACAGUGGACUGUUCUUCGUCUCCAUGGUAUAGGACCAAGUGUUGUUGCAUUGCCUCUAAUCCCCUCGUUUUCUACGACGCUUAAGGUGAACAAAGAGGGGACGACCUGGACAUUCUUCACCUCAAGGGACACUAAACACAAAAGGCUGGCCACCGCAAAAGAAGCAUAUGUGUUCAUUAAAAUGAAGAAGUCUACCGAUGACAUCUGCCUCUGUGAACUCUAGCAUGGUGGCUGGCGAUGGCCUGCCAAUGCCUAUCCGCCGAGCGGGCCAGCCUUCGUUUCCUUUGGCGUGCUCGAACAAGGUGUAGCUGGUGAGCCACCCCUCGUGCCUUGUCUUCAGAGAGAUGUGUUGUAGGACAAACCCAUCUUGCAGUAAGCUGUCCGUGGUCUGCCCUUGCUGUGGUGUGAUGGUGACAAGUUCACCUCGGCAACAGUGGACUCUUGUACGCCUCCAUGGUAUAGGACCAAGUGUUGUUGCAUCGAGGCUAAUCCCCUUGUUUUCUAAGAUGCUCAAAAGAGAACAAAAGAGGGGGGAUGACCUGGACAGUCUCCAUCUCAAGGGACAUUAAACACAAAAGGCCGACCACUGCAAAGGUCCAUUUUUUUUUACCUAAACUGCGUUGUGCUCUACCAUAGUUACCACGUUCGAUCGAAAAACGUGUU